rnacentral:rRNA from 1 species
GAUGAACGCUGGCGGCAUGCCUAACACAUGCAAGUCGAACGGAGAUUCCGGACGGAAGUUUUCGGAUGGAAGCCUGUAAUUCUUAGUGGCGGACGGGUGAGUAACGCGUGGGCAACCUGCCCUAUACAGGGGGAUAGCAGCUGGAAACGGCUGGUAAGACCGCAUAAGUCGGUUAAAUCGCAUGAUUUGAUCGGGAAAUGAGCAAUCAGGUAUAGGAUGGGCCCGCGUCCGAUUAGCCAGUUGGCAGGGUAAAAGCCUACCAAAGCGACGAUCGGUAGCCGGACUGAGAGGUCGGACGGCCACAUUGGGACUGAGACACGGCCCAAACUCCUACGGGAGGCAGCAGUGGGGGAUAUUGCACAAUGGAGGAAACUCUGAUGCAGCGACGCCGCGUGAGUGAAGAAGUAUUUCGGUAUGUAAAGCUCUAUCAGCAGGGAAGAUGAUGACGGUACCUGACUAAGAAGCCCCGGCUAACUACGUG